AAUUCCCAGACAGAAGAUCUUUUGCUACUUCAUCCUCUCUCCACGGAGUCCUCUUGAAUUCUCUUAGCAUUAGAUCUCUGUGGUCUCUCUCUCAAGGCCGAUCGAUGCAUCCCUACAGGCAAUUGGCGGGGUUUACUGUGAAUUAUCUCAUAGGUGUCGCCUGUGGCUGUGGCGCUGUUUUAGCUGGGUCUGCUAUACGUCGCGGUUGGGCCAGGAGGAAUAUGAGCUCGCACCGCACCGGCCGCAGCGAAGGACGAGACACUUCUGGCUGACUGGCGUCUCCAUGAAAUUGGUCUCGCUUUUACGUGCUUUGAAUGUUAAGGCUAUGAUUAGCCAUUACAUAUUAGAUGCUACUUAUUUCAACCCUAUGUUUCUUGUUAUGUUAAAGACUCGUUAUGGAUUACAUUAUGUAAUGUCUAAUUAUGGAA